GACGAACGCUGGCGGCGUGCUUAACACAUGCCAGUCGAACGGAAAGGCCCUGCUUUUGUGGGGUGCUCGAGUGGCGAACGGGUGAGUAACACGUGAGUAACCUGCCCUUGACUUUGGGAUAACUUCAGGAAACUGGGGCUAAUACCGGAUAGGAGCUCCUGCUGCAUGGUGGGGGUUGGAAAGUUUCGGCGGUUGGGGAUGGACUCGCGGCUUAUCAGCUUGUUGGUGGGGUAGUGGCUUACCAAGGCUUUGACGGGUAGCCGGCCUGAGAGGGUGACCGGCCACAGUGGGACUGAGAUACGGCCCAGACUCAUACGGGAGGCAGCAGUGGGGAAUAUUGCACAAUGGGCGGAAGCCUGAUGCAGCAACGCCGCGUGCGGGAUGACGGCCUUCGGGUUGUAAACCGCUUUCGCCUGUGACGAAGCGUGAGUGACGGUAAUGGGUAAAGAAGCACCGGCUAACUACGUG
rnacentral:rRNA from 1 species